UUGAACGCUGGCGGCAGGCCUAACCCAUGCAAGUCGAACGGUAACAGGAAGAAGCUUGCUUCUUUGCUGACGAGUGGCGGACGGGUGAGUAAUGUCUGGGAAACUGCCUGAUGGAGGGGGAUAACUACUGAAACGGUAGCUAAUACCGCAUAAUGUCGCAAGACCAAAGAGGGGGACCUUCGGGCCUCUUGCCAUCGGAUGUGCCCAGAUGGGAUUAGCUAGUAGGUGGGGUAACGGCUCACCUAGGCGACGAUCCCUAGCUGGUCUGAGAGGAUGACCAGCCACACUGGAACUGAGACACGGUCCAGACUCCUACGGGAGGCAGCAGUGGGGAAUAUUGCACAAUGGGCGCAAGCCUGAUGCAGCUAUGCCGCGUGUAUGAAGAAGGCCUUCGGGUUGUAAAGUACUUUCAGCGGGGAGGAAGGGAGUAAAGUUAAUACCUUUGCUCAUUGACGUUACCCGCAGAAGAAGCACCGGCUAACUCCGUG
rnacentral:rRNA from 1 species